UACAGAGGUCUCAAGCGUUGUUCGGAUUCAUUGGGCGUAAAGGUGUGUAGGUGGCGCCGUAAGUCGGGUGUGAAAUUUCGGAGCUUAACUCCGAAACUGCAUUCGAUACUGCGGUGCUUGAGGACUGGAGAGGAGACUGGAAUUCAUGGUGUAGCAGUGAAAUGCGUAGAGAUCAUGAGGAAGACCAGUGGCGAAGGCGGGUCUCUGGACAGUUCCUGGACCACUGAGGCACGAAGGUCCAGGGGAGCAAACGGA
rnacentral:rRNA from 1 species